GGGCGGGCUCGCUAGCACAUUCAGGGGGGACCGCGCGGUGCUGUCACGGUGACAUCAAAGGAGUCUGCAGGCCGUGGCCUGCUGAGUGACCUUGGGCAGGUGGCUUGGGCGCAGCUUAAGGGAGGUCACUGUGAUCGACAUGACGACAGGGCUUCCGGGGACUCCGGUAAGACUAAAGUGCACAGGAGGCCGGCACCCAGAUGACCGUGGGCCCGGGGGUGGCCUCGUGUCAGUAGGCACUCGGGGUGUGCACGCUCAGGUAGAUCGCAUCUGGAAAGCGGCUUGGGUUGGAGGCUGUCCUGUGCCCCCGAUUGCACCGCGGCCCUUAUCGAAGCUGCAGUUGCUUCCACAUAGCAGCUGUGGUCAAAAAGGAGCCCAGAGUGACAGUUUUCCCUGACGGUCGCCGUUCUGUUUGCUGUAACCGAUCUGCAACAUUUCAGGAAAAGACAGUCCUCGGGUUGAGCCGGAGAGCAGGGUUAAAGUGCACCCCACAGGCUGCCAGAGACGCGGGGUCUUGCAUGGAGGGGUCAGAGAGGCCUCGGAGAACAGCUGGCCAGACGGGGUAGCUGUGUGGGGGGAGGCGGCAGGGGAGUAGACGUUUGUCCUGUGAACUUCUGUCCAGAGGUGAUUCUUUGGGUCGCUGCCUCAGCGCUAGGACAUCAGGGUAAGGACCAAAAGCUGGGCAGGCCAGGAAAAGGGAGCAGGUGGACAGCUGUGUUCUCAUCGUAGGUGUGCCACGUGAUCCUGGCGGAUGUGGGGCAGUGAGGACCCCAGCGGCAUCCUCGGGCUGGUAGGUUUCUUGCUUGGGGCUGCUUGCCGGGACAGAACAGCAUGUUUCCAAGGGCUGUGGCUGGCUGUGGCCAUGGGAUCUCCAACUGCAUGCGAGAGCAACCUGGAGAGACUUUGACAGCUCAGGUCAGCACCGUACCUGCAGCUGCCACUCGCCUUUCCGAUAAUUUCAGGACUGGGUGGGGGUUCGUCCUAUUCGGAAGCCCUCACUCAGCUUUUUUUCUGCAGCCUGACCCGGUUUCUGAAGAGCCCAGCUUGCUGGCUUCUGGAGCCGUGCCUUUUUUAGACUAAGGUCUGUGCUACAGUGAAGCCCUGACAGGAUCUGCAGGGUUGGCUGACUACUGAAGGGUUAUAGCUCCAGGCAGUGGCCAGACUGUCUUUAAACAGUGCGGCAAACAGAAUGACACCAUUACUCAGGAGAAAACCAACGUGGGAAUGAAGUAGGCUGGCAUACAGGCUAAAACCGAUGAGGUUUCUGAACCGGAAGAUCACGCCUUUGCCAUGCCUCUGUGACCUCAUGCCCCUGCCUGGCCACACAUGGGUGCCCACUACCAGUCAGGCUAAUUAACCAAUUCACCUUUGGAAGUGGGUUAAAAGCCUGUGUCCUGCCCUUCUCUGUUUCCUGGCCUCUUGCCAGGAGGAGGCUGCGUCACCCACUCUAGGCUUCCUGACCCAGAUUCUCCUCCACAUGGCUGGUUACUGGUGCUCAGUAUGAACCCAGAUUUACCU